rnacentral:rRNA from 1 species
CGCUGAGGCUCGANAGCGGGGGGAGCGAACAGGAUUAGAUACCCUGGUAGUCCACGCCGUAAACGAUGAGUGCUAAGUGUUGGAGGGUUUCCGCCCUUCAGUGCUGCAGCAAACGCAUUAAGCACUCCGCCUGGGGAGUACGACCGCAAGGUUGAAACUCAAAGGAAUUGACGGGGGCCCGCACAAGCGGUGGAGCAUGUGGUUUAAUUCGAAGCAACGCGAAGAACCUUACCAGGUCUUGACAUCCUUUGACCACUCUAGAGAUAGAGCUUCCCCUUCGGGGGCAAAGUGACAGGUGGUGCAUGGUUGUCGUCAGCUCGUGUCGUGAGAUGUUGGGUUAAGUCCCGCAACGAGCGCAACCCUUAUUGUUAGUUGCCAUCAUUUAGUUGGGCACUCUAGCGAGACUGCCGGUGACAAACCGGAGGAAGGUGGGGAUGACGUCAAAUCAUCAUGCCCCUUAUGACCUGGGCUACACACGUGCUACAAUGGGAAGUACAACGAGUUGCGAAGUCGCGAGGCUAAGCUAAUCUCUUAAAGCUUCUCUCAGUUCGGAUUGUAGGCUGCAACUCGCCUACAUGAAGCCGGAAUCGCUAGUAAUCGCGGAUCAGCACGCCGCGGUGAAUACGUUCCCGGGCCUUGUACACAC